AUGAAGUCAUUGGCCAUUUGUGAUUAGCUCGGUCUCCAGCUCCUUUCCCCUCCCAGGGGUUUGGGAGGUGGGGCUGCAAGUUCUACCCUCUGAUCAAGGCCUGAUGUUCUGCCUUCACCCCGCAGCUUCCCAAGGGUUCCCAGACACCAGUCAUUUCAUAUCAUACAAACAGAACUCAUCACUCUGGAGAUUCCAGGAGUUUUAGGAGCCAUUUACCAGGAACCAGGGACAAAGAACAAAUCAAACAUCUGCUUCCUGGGGAGCUGCAGGAGGCCAUGGAGAUAAAGAGAAUGGAAAUGGAGCUGCCAGCACAACGAAGGAACACAGGUUUGAGGUGGGCUGUGCUAUGUAUGAACUUUCCUAGAAGAGAAGCUGGAGUGUGACCAUGACAUCUGCCAGUGGAAGUGGAGACAGUCACAUCCUCAUUAAGAGGGGGCUCAAACUUCAGUGUGCGUGAGAAUUACUCAGACAGCUUAUUCGGUCACAGAUGGCUGAUUCAGUAGGGCUGAACCAGACUCAGAACACUUGGUCUAUAGGAACCACAGGAGGUUAGAGAAGGGGAAAACCAGCACAGACUCUGGUGGUGGAGAAGUUCAGGUAAGUGUGUGAUUCUGCUGGUUCCUUUGCUUGAGUGUUGGCCUCACUUUAGGUGGGGCUUGGUGGAUCUUUCAGUGACUUCAGAAAGUGAGUGGAAUGAAGUGGAGCCUCAUUUGGUUUGGCAGAAGAUUGGGGUAUUUGGAUAGGUCGUGAUCAGGAUGGGAGAUGUUGUAGACCAGGGAAACCCUGUGAACAAAAUCACCACACCUGAAAUGAUCUCUGAAUGUCCUGUUCACCCUGUUGGGAAAGCUCAGCUCCAUCCAAUCACAUGGG
rnacentral:lncRNA from 1 species